rnacentral:rRNA from 1 species
CCUACGGGAGGCAGCAGUAGGGAAUAUUGCUCAAUGGGGGAAACCCUGAAGCAGCAACGCCGCGUGGAGGAUGAAGGUUUUAGGAUUGUAAACUCCUUUUGUUAGAGAAGAUAAUGACGGUAUCUAACGAAUAAGCACCGGCUAACUCCGUGCCAGCAGCCGCGGUAAUACGGAGGGUGCAAGCGUUACCCGGAUUCACUGGGCGUAAAGAGUGCGUAGGCGGGGUAAUAAGUCAGAUGUGAAAUCCUGUAGCUUAACUACAGAACUGCAUUUGAAACUGUUACUCUGGAGUGUGGGAGAGGUAGGUGGAAUUCUUGGUGUAGGGGUGAAAUGCGUAGAGAUCAAGAGGAAUACUCAUUGCGAAGGCGACCUGCUGGAACGUUACUGACGUUGAUGCACGAAAGUGUGGGGAGCAAACAGGAUUAGAUACCCGUGUAGUC